CUGGGGGGAGUUGCGCCGCGACGCGCACCGUCGCUUUGCAGGAGCGCUGCGGUGCGGUGACUCCCAGCGCCGGUGCUCAGAGCCGGGCGGGAUACGGAGCGCUGCGGGAAGGAUGCGGUCCGCAACAACGCACCCCGGUAACGCGGGCUGCUAGGAAAAUAAAAGUUAUCCAGACUCAAAACACACUCGUCAAACACACCGAAAAGUUUGAAUUAUUUAUUUCCUCUGGGGACUCCUGUAUCCAUUUAUUUUUAAUAGAGCCUAAUUAAGAGUUCCCCAGCGGGUUUUACUUUCGUAAAUAUUUCAGAUGAUUUCGGGCUUCCGGGCAAAUCCUCCAGAGGAAAAGAAAAAUGUAAUGAAAGAAGCGAGGCGCGGAGUUUCAGCCCUUCCCUCCCGUCGGCCGAAGCGACAACAAGUGGCCGCCGGGCGCGAGCAGCGCGGCCCCUUCGGGAACGGCCCGGGGGCUCCGGAGAGGAACGAAGAUACACCGCGACGCGACGGCUCCGGGCCCGGCCGAGGAGCGGCUGUGCGGGACGGGACGCAGCGAGCGGCGCGUAAAGAGUACGGAGAGCUCUUCGUUUUAAAGAUAGAAGAAAACGAGGCACAGGGAAAGGAGAUUUUUCGAUCAUUUUUUUUUUUUUUUGGAAGAAAUCCGGUAAACAAAACAAACAAACAAAAAAUUAAAACUUUUCUUCGUCUGAUAUGUCAAAACAUCGUUCACAGUAAAAUUCACAAACCGAUUUACAUAAGUUUACAGCUUAAGAAAAACCCAGACACACAACUUGCUAUAAAUAAAAGAAAGGGUUUGCGACCCGCACAGCUCUCUCCCACCGCCCCCUUUCCGUAGGAACAAAACCCUAAAGUUAAAAACUCUACGAAUUGCGGACACGAACCGAGCGGCGCUCGGCAAGGUGGGAAGAACAACACUUUCAGUAACCACAACGAAAAUGUAAACAACGGAACGACUGAGUUUGAAAACAACGCCCGCCGGGUCGGUUUUUCGUUUUGUCAUUGCAACGCUAAAAUGGAACGGGGCGAUGCACCAUCUUUAAGACUCGGAAGCGAACAAAACUACGCCCAACCCCGCGGAGACCGGGAGAGUCGCCGUGGCUUAAGAACUUCGCGGGGCUUUAGGAGGCGGUUGCGCUCUGUUAAAAGAACAGAUUGCCCAAAUCGUUUUUUUUUUUUUUUGUACAAAAGAAAAAAGAAAAUGAAGACAACGAACGGAUUUUCUGUUUAAAAUUUCUCCCAAGUUAGUAUCGAGUCUGCUGAGCCGCACGUCCCGGCGCUGGGGUUGCGAUGAGGAGCCGUCCGGAGGAGGCCAGUUUGUUUAUAUGUGAGUUAGUGGUACGGUGCCGUUCACGGCAGUCCCGGCACUCUGGUAGUGCUGGUGCACACUGUGCAACCUGCUGCCCUGCAGGGCCGAAGGGUCUGUGGCGUCGCCCCCCGGGGGCAGGUACAUGCUGAUCAUAUCCCGCAGGUCUCCCAGGCAGGCCCUCUGCGAGUGCGAGGUGAUGGCCGGCGGAGGCGAGCUGGGCUCGGACUUGACCACCGAGCCCAUGGAGCCCAGGCUCAUGGCCGUGGAGGGCUGCUGGCCGUAGGCGGCGGGGGACAUGCUGUAGGUGGAGGCGGCGUUCAUGUAGGUCUGCGCCGUGGACAUCAUGGGGCUGUACUGCAGGCCCGGCAUGUCGUAGCGGUGCAUCUGCUGCAGCUGCGGGCUGUUCAUGCCCGGGUGCUGCCCGUAGCCCAGCUGGUCUUGCAUCAGGGAGUAAGCCCCGUUGGUCCAACCGUUCAUAUGAGCGUAAGUGUCAAUCCUCUGGCCCACCCCGACGGGGCUGCUCACCGCGUUGCCCCCUCCGGGGGCCAGCAGGUUGCCCGGCAGCGAGUAUUUGUCCUUCUUCAGCAAGGUCUUGGUCUUCCUCCGGGGCCGGUAUUUGUAAUCCGGGUACUCCUUCAUGUGCACGGCCCGCAGCCUCUUGGCCUCGUCGAUGAAGGGCCGCUUCUCGGCAUCGCUCAGCAGCUUCCAAUCGGCCCCGAGGCGCUUGCUGAUCUCCGAGUUGUGCAUCUUGGGAUUCUCCUGGGCCAUCUUCCGCCGCUGGCCCCGCGACCACACCAUGAAUGCGUUCAUGGGGCGCUUCACCCGGUCCUGGUCCGACCCGGCACCCGCUCCGCUGCCGGCCCCGCCGCCGCCUUUGCCGUUGCCGCCCGGGGCCGGGUUCCCCCCGGCGCUGCCCGGCGUGGGCUGCGGCGUCUUGAUCUCGGUCUCCAGCAUGCUGUACAUGGCCGGGGCCGGUAAGAGAUGCGCCAGGGUGGCAGACGGGCGGGCACAGCUCGGGGAAAGGAAGUUCAAAAUAAUAAGAGUAAAAGAAAGAACCGGUCCGGGCGGCGGCCGCAGGAGGGGGAAGGAGUUUUCCCGUGCCGCUCCCCGAGGUGCAGCGGAGGUUCCCGCGGGCAGCGCUGAGCGACGCGCACACCUCUCCCGGGGGCAUUUGAUUGACGGGCUAUAAAUGAGAGGGCGGCGGCCAAUCAGCGAGCGGUUCCCGACAGCCCCAACGCCGGUAAUGGGUCGGUUUGGAGAGGACGGGGAUGGGCGAAAAGUUGGUGUUUGGGGACUGCUGGGACCGAGCCCCUCCCGCCGCAACCCCCGAGGUGCCGGACCGGCAGCGGGCACUCCGCAGGGUGCGGAGCGGGCAGCGGGGAUCGUGCAGCUGCCGGCGGGGCUGGGAGCCGGGAUGCGGAGCCGGGGUUGCGGAGCGGACGGGAGGACCGCCGCGAGCGGAUCCACGAGUUUGGCGGGCACAAAGAAAUCCGAGGUUUCCGGCUGGAUCCGCCGCCUCGAGACUGUACGAACAGCUGUUCCUGUAGCUCACGCAGCGGAUGAAGGCGACGAGAACUAAAACUUUCGCCUCCGGAGCGGUGUCUGCGUAGGGAAGCCGCUCUGCCCUGUCGGCACCGGGGGCGGCUGCCGGGCGCUCCGUUCAGGUGCCAGGCGGGUGCCCCGCCGCAGCACCGUGCCCCCCUUCGUGUCGCUGAGCCGGGUUGGAUGCCGGCAGGACGCUCCCGGCCCCCCACCCCUCGCCGAACCUCGGCCACUUGUGUUUUUUCCAUUCGGCUGCACCAGGGGGAGGGGGAAGGGGGAUGGUGCUUUGUAAAAACGGUUUUCAUGGCAACGGCGAAGUUCCCUCCGUGUGAAAGAAAACUUGGGAAAGCUGGGGUGACCGGAGAGGAGCUCCCUGCAGCUGUCAAUCACGGGCUUCCCUUUCCGUCCCUCCCCUCCCCUUCCCUUUCCUUCCCUUCCUCCCUCGGAGGCGCGAACGCCCGCACCUACGCGGCCGGGGCCGGGAGCUCCCGAAAGGCACACAGCCUGUCUGCGCUCUUUCUCCUUCCUCAUCCUCCCGCCGUGUCCCGCUCCAGCUCCGCACGGGCAGAGGCACGGGACAGCCCGUUGCCGGCGGAGAUCCAUCACUGCCGGUGCUUUGCGAUCAAACUGCACCGGGGGCGCGGGACUGGGCAGAGGGCUCGGAGCAGACGUGCCUGGGCACCCCGUCCCCUCCAGGGGGGGCGGCGAGGAGGGAAGCUGCAGCUUGGCAGCCCUCGCGGACACAUCAUUUAGCAUCCCACGGUCCAAGUUAUUAAAAGGCAAUAUUUCUCUUGAAACAUCACACAUCUCCUCACUGAUGAAUAAGAAGCAAGAAGGGGUGAGCAGGGCACCCAGCUCGGAACCUCUCGAUAAUGGUUCUGCCGCGAUCUGAACUCUCGAGAGGAGAGGCAGAAGGUGCUGUCCCGCGAAGCCGCGUUCCUCCCCCGCCGCGUGCCAGGGGAGCACCUGCGGCCGGAUUCCCAGGGAGUGGGGCUGAGGAGCGGUGCGGGUCCGGGCAGAACGAAGUGAGGCUCAGCCGUGGCUCUGCCACCAGCAUCACUCUGCUAACGCAAGGGACCCUCUCCUCGGUUGGAAGCUACAGAUCGCUGCUGAGGCAGAGUAGAGAAGGAAGGGAAAGAGAGGCAAGUCCCGCUAUACAAGCUGUUAUUUCCAAAAACGUCUUGCCGAGCGCUUUAAAAAGUCCGAUCCCAGUCCCAGCCUGGUUCCCGGUCCUUCCCGUGAGCAGAGUUGCUGCCAAGCAGGGAAGGGGCAGAAGCAGGAAAGGUGGCAGAGAGCACCCGGUAUGGGGCUGGGGAGCACCACGCCUGGAUGGAGCCAUUUUCCUAAAUUCCCUCCUCGGCUGUGGUUGGGAUGAGGAGAAGCCGUCCGGGGCUGAGAGCCCCCUGUUCCCGGUGGGAGUUGGAGGCACUCAUAGGGGCGUGAGGCAAAAGCAGGAAUUUACAGCACACUUCAAGCUGAAUGUGAGAGAAAGCCCAUGGCUGACAAGGGACAAUCGGCUUCAUAUGCGAUCAGCACUUAAUAAGCAAUAGCCAUUAAUAUCUAUUAAUUGCAGCUCCAUAGAACUUGGGGAGGGGGGUUCUUGGAAGGGGAGAUUGCUGGCUUUUAGAGCAACGCCAAAAAAGCCCCAUUUAAUCCCAUUAUUAAAACAUCCCCCCCAGCCCCGAACAUCAGUGGGGCUCAGCCUUCACAGCGAGCCCAGACCCGGAGCUGAGCCCCGUUCGUUUGGUUCCUGCUGACCCUCGCUUGGAUGAUUCCCCAAGAAUAGCCAUGUGAUGCUUAAAAGAAAGGUUCGCGUAUUUCUGCACUUGGACUCUGUUUUAAGAUUUCCCCAAAGUUUCCACAUAGUAAUGCAGCUCUCAAGUGGGUCACAUCGGGCUGAUGCUGCAGCUCCAGCUCGCUGGGUUGAGACAGGUUUGUUUUUGUUCCCCUACCAGUGGUGUCACGUCAAACCAACCUCUCCAGCUGCCUUGGACCGAGUUCCCAUUGCAGCUGGGGGUACAAAUCACCGCAGCCCCGAAUGGGUCCCCUAUCCCUUCUGCGGCUUCACCCGUACCCACUGCAGAGCACAACAGCGAUUGCAGCAUCCCUGCUGCUCAUCUGCCCCAAAGCACGAGGGAUACCUUUGAUGAUAUCAUUAAAACCAGCAACAUUUAAAAACAAAAAUCUCACGACCGUGGGUAAAACCCGGGCAGUCGUUUGGGUGCAGCUCGGUUCCUUUGAACCGAGCCUCCCAGUGCACUCAGGGGGCAGCAGCGAAUGUUGUUUUUAAUCACUUUUUCCCCCCAGCUGAACUUUUAUUUGGCUUCUACCAACAAUAGCGGGCUGCAAACAGACCUCUCGGAGCGCCGCUGAAUAGACUCUUUUCUGGCCCGGAUUGUUUCCACCGCCACAAAAACAACCAGGAGCUCCGUGUCUUAAUUGGGCUGUUCCCGGCCCUCGCUCAUUCAUUCAGGUGUUCGCCAGGAAUUUGUUUAUUAGCCUCUGACAAACAGCUCCUCCUGGUAAUCGCCUCAUGGGGUUGGCUUCUGCGGG
ensembl:lncRNA